rnacentral:tRNA from 1 species
GCCCGGGUGUUGGAAUGGUAGACAAGCAACACUUAAAAUGUUGUGGGGUUAUCCUCGUGUGGGUUCGAGUCCCACCCCGGGCACCA